CGGAGGGUCGGCUGGAGGUGGACUUCGGAUGGCGUUGAGGAGAUCCGUCCGCUGGAGGAGUCAGGGGAUCUUGUGGAAGUCUGGAUGGUAUUGUUGAAGUUUGACUGACGCUAUUGAAGGUUGAUGGCUGGGGAGGUUCGGCAGACACCAGAGGUGAUCGGCCGUUGUAGAAAUUCAGCUGCUGGAGCCCGUCUGUUGUGGAAGCUCGUCCGAAAUCCAUCUGCUAUGGAAGUUCGAACGGAGCCCGAUUCUUGCAGAAGGC
rnacentral:lncRNA from 1 species